GUGGGGAAUUUUGGACAAUGGGGGCAACCCUGAUCCAGCCAUCCCGCGUGUGCGACGAAGGCCUUCGGGUUGUAAAGCACUUUUGGCAGGAAAGAAAUUGCCUGGGUUAAUACCCUGGGUAGAUGACGGUACCUGCAGAAUAAGCACCGGCUAACUACGUGCCAGCAGCCGCGGUAAUACGUAGGAUGCAAGCGUUAAUCGGAAUUACUGGGCGUAAAGCGUGCGCAGGCGGUUCGGAAACAAAGAUGUGAAAUCCCAGGGCUUAACCUUGGAACUGCAUUUUUAACUACCGGGCUAGAGUGCGUCAGAGGGGGGUGGAAUUCCGCGUGUAGCAGUGAAAUGCGUAGAUAUGCGGAGGAACACCGAUGGCGAAGGCAGCCCCCUGGGAUGACACUGACGCUCAUGCACGAAAGCGUGGGGAGCAAACAGGAUUAGAUACCCCGGUAGUCU
rnacentral:rRNA from 1 species